rnacentral:lncRNA from 1 species
CUUGAAACUGGGCCUGUUUCUCAAAUUAGGCUUUUGGUCUCAGAUGUACCUUUCCUGCAGAGCUGCAGAAUGCACAGAAGGUCUUUGGGUAUUUCAUGGGCUUCUUGCUGUCASUUCCACUAAUGCUCCUUGGCUUGUGUUUGACAGAACACGUCUGUGUCCCUUCCCAGCCAGCACCACCCAGAACAUGGRCUGUACAUUGGGAUUGGCACAUGUACAGCUCUUCUGCUCAUCCUGAUUUUGGCUCUGUUCCUCACCAAACAAUAUUUUUACAACACGAAGAAGAUGGGUGGUUUUGCAGGCUUUGUUACAUUUCAGAGGCCACAAGGUGUGGGGAGCCAUAGUGUCCUGGACGAUGAGAGUCAUGCAGAGGAAAAUAUUUAUAUCAUAGACUAAGGACUGGAUGCAUUGCUGCCUUUAUCACUGCUGGGACAUUAAAURGUUUGCAAAAUGUUGGCUGCUCCCCCUGCUCAGCAGCUGAACGUGACUGCAUUAUUGAAGCAUUAUUCACUUCCUAAUAAUAAAACAAAUAAAAGCUACACUUUUAAUUAAAAUCUUUAUCAGCCUGUUCCAGAGACAGAAACCCAAACUGGCAUUGGUGGAACUUUCCAUUUCCUAAAGAAAGUUAUGAUUAUAUUUAUUAUCUGCCUCAAAUUCUCGCUUCCUUGUUGGGGAAAAAAAAAAAAAAAAGAGGAAGUGCCAGAAGGGCACAAUUGUGUUCACUGUGGAUUCCAUCUGCCACCUUCCACAGAGUCUGUGCCAUCAGAGGGCAGAAGCAAUCUCGGAGCUGUGUGACAAAGAUGUCACAUGGCCAAUCUUGG